CAAUAGCGUAUAUUAAAGUUGUUGCAGUUAAAAAGCUCGUAGUUGGAUUUCUGGUGGGAGCGAUCGGUCUGGCGCUUAGCGCGAGUACUUGCAUCGUCUCCGGCCAUCCUUGGGGAGAGUCUGUCUGGCAUUAAGUUGUCGGGCAGAGGAUCCUCAUCGUUUACUGUGAAAAAAUUAGAGUGUUCAAAGCAGGCUUAUGCCGUUGAAUAUAUUAGCAUGGAAUAAUAAGAUAGGACUUUGGUACUAUCUUGUUGGUUUGCGCACCAAAGUAAUGAUUAAUAGGGACAGUUGGGGGUAUUCGUAUUCCGUUGUCAGAGGUGAAAUUCUUGGAUUUACGGAAGACGAACUACUGCGAAAGCAUUUACCAAGGAUGUUUUCAUUAA
rnacentral:rRNA from 1 species